rnacentral:misc_RNA from 1 species
CCGUCAAUUCAUUUGAGUUUUAACCUUGCGGCCGUACUCCCCAGGCGGUCGAUUUAACGCGUUAGCUCCGGAAGCCACGCCUCAAGGGCACAACCUCCAAAUCGACAUCGUUUACAGCGUGGACUACCAGGGUAUCUAAUCCUGUUUGCUCCCCACGCUUUCGCACCUGAGCGUCAGUCUUUGUCCAGGGGGCCGCCUUCGCCACCGGUAUUCCUCCAGAUCUCUACGCAUUUCACCGCUACACCUGGAAUUCUACCCCCCUCUACAAGACUCUAGCCUGCCAGUUUCGAAUGCAGUUCCCAGGUUGAGCCCGGGGAUUUCACAUCCGACUUGACAGACCGCCUGCGUGCGCUUUACGCCCAGUAAUUCCGAUUAACGCUUGCACCCUCCGUAUUACCGC